GAUGAACGCUGGCGGCGUGCCUAAUACAUGCAAGUCGAGCGAACGGACGAGAAGCUUGCUUCUCUGAUGUUAGCGGCGGACGGGUGAGUAACACGUGGAUAACCUACCUAUAAGACUGGGAUAACUUCGGGAAACCGGAGCUAAUACCGGAUGAUAUUUUGAACCGCAUGGUUCAAAAGUGAAAGACGGUCUUGCUGUCACUUAUAGAUGGAUCCGCGCUGCAUUAGCUAGUUGGUAAGGUAACGGCUUACCAAGGCAACGAUGCAUAGCCGACCUGAGAGGGUGAUCGGCCACACUGGAACUGAGACACGGUCCAGACUCCUACGGGAGGCAGCAGUAGGGAAUCUUCCGCAAGGGGCGAAAGCCUGACGGAGCAACGCCGCGUGAGUGAUGAAGGUCUUCGGAUCGUAAAACUCUGUUAUUAGGGAAGAACAUAUGUGUAAGUAACUGUGCACAUCUUGACGGUACCUAAUCAGAAAGCCACGGCUAACUACGUG
rnacentral:rRNA from 1 species